GUGCUCACUUUGGCAGCACAUAUACUAACAUUGGAACAGUACAGAAGAUUAGCACGGCCCCUGAGCAAGGGUGAUACGCAAAUUCAUGAAGCGUUCCAUAAUUUU